CUCUCUGUCUGUCUCUAUCUCUCUGUCUCUCUCUCUUUUUUGCCAGUAUAUCUUGAAAUUUCAUUGAUGUACGAAGCUCCUGACAAGUAAAUUCCUCUACCAAUGCAGGCUGGCAUUCUUACAUACUAGCAAUAAAGAGCAAGAAAAUAAUUUUUUUUAAAAAAAAGGAACUCCAUUGAUAAUCAUUUAAGAUCAAUUGAGCCCCAAUAAGGGACAAAAACCUGAAUUAAUCUUUUUCUCUCUGAGUGAACUAAAAACACCCCCUUCCUGUGUUAGCAAAUUCCAGGAACAGAUAGAACUGAUCAACUAAGCCCAGGAUGUCUGGGACCAGAUACUCUCUUGAAUAAUGGGACUUUUCUUAUCUUGAGUUUCUACUGACACUUUGACAUUCUUCUGUUUUAUUGUGUUUACAGCCUUAUUCAAUUAAGAAAAUUCCUUUCCCAUGCUAUAUGUUAAACAAACAUAUGGGGGCUGUAUUUUUUUGUAACACAGACAUUCUGAGUCUGAUCACUCUAAACUGUAUAAAACCUCUCUCAUUUUGCUUAAUCUCCAAGUCAGAAUCACAUUCUGGCUCCCAUGUUAACAUGAUUCGCUAGCUAAAAGGGAAUAAACUGUAUAAUAGUGUAUCACCUAACUUGUUUGCCUUCCUUAACCAAACUUUCAGGUCAACAGUAAUGGUGCCAUGACUCGGAUUGGAACUGAAGGAAUGGUAGAAAACUCCAGCCCACCCUGGCAAUGCUUUAGUGGCUCAGGCACCUCAGGAUCCAUCUUUUCCUGGAGUCCUAACCUUGAUGGGGUCGGCCUCUAUCAGGUCUAUGUGACUACUCCCAUAGCUGAGAACUUCUGGAUGUGGACUCUGGGAUCAUCUGAAGAUGCCCACUCCUGAGUGGACAUCUGAACCUAUAGGAGACCUUGCCCUCCGGUUACGAAGGGGCCUGAAAAAGACGACAUCAGAUGUAGACAGCUUUUCCAAGAGUCCGGACCACGCCUGCACGAAGUAAAGCUCCCUCCCUGCCUGAACCCCUUACAUACCCAAGACUGGUUACGCAUAUUUUAGUAGUCCUAGAUUGC
rnacentral:lncRNA from 1 species